GUGCUUGUUCUGGCAGCACAUAUACUAAAAUUUGAAUGAUACAGAGAAGAUUAGCAUGGUCCCUGUACAAGGAUGACAUGCAAAAAUCAGGCUUCACACACUUAU